AUUGAACGCUGGCGGCAGGCCUAACACAUGCAAGUCGAACGGUAACAGGAAACAGCUUGCUGUUUCGCUGACGAGUGGCGGACGGGUGAGUAAUGUCUGGGAAACUGCCUGAUGGAGGGGGAUAACUACUGGAAACGGUAGCUAAUACCGCAUAACGUCGCAAGACCAAAGAGGGGGACCUUCGGGCCUCUUGCCAUCGGCUGUGCCCAGAUGGGAUUAGCUAGUAGGUGGGGUAACGGCUCACCUAGGCGACGAUCCCUAGCUGGUCUGAGAGGAUGACCAGCCACACUGGAACUGAGACACGGUCCAGACUCCUACGGGAGGCAGCAGUGGGGAAUAUUGCACAAUGGGCGCAAGCCUGAUGCAGCCAUGCCGCGUGUAUGAAGAAGGCCUUCGGGUUGUAAAGUACUUUCAGCGGGGAGGAAGGGAGUAAAGUUAAUACCUUUACUUAUUGACGUUACCCGAAGAAGAAGCACCGGCUAACUCCGUG
rnacentral:rRNA from 1 species